rnacentral:rRNA from 1 species
CGGAGGGUGCAAGCGUUAUCCGGAUUCACUGGGUUUAAAGGGUGCGUAGGUGGGCAGGUAAGUCAGUGGUGAAAUCCUGUAGCUUAACUACAGAACUGCCAUUGAUACUAUCUGUCUUGAAUACCCUGGAGGUGAGCGGAAUAUGUCAUGUAGCGGUGAAAUGCUUAGAUAUGACAUAGAACACCCAUUGCGAAGGCAGCUCACUACGGGAAUAUUGACGCUGAGGCACGAAAGCGUGGGGAUCAAACAGGAUUAGAUACCCUGGUAGUCCACGCCCUAAACGAUGAUCACUCGACAUCAGCGAUAAACUGUUGGUGUCUGAGACAAAAGCAUUAAGUGAUCCCACCUGGGAAGUACGAUCGCAAGAUUGA